CCUACGGGAGGCUGCAUUGGGGAAUAUUGGACAAUGGGGGCAACCCUGAUCCAGCCAUGCCGCGUGUGUGAAGAAGGCCCUCGGGUUGUAAAGCACUUUCAGUGAGGAAGAACGCCUGGUGGUUAAUACCCAUCAGGAAAGACAUCACUCACAGAAGAAGCACCGGCUAACUCCGUGCCAGCAGCCGCGGUAAUACGGAGGGUGCGAGCGUUAAUCGGAAUUACUGGGCGUAAAGCGCGCGUAGGUGGCUUGAUAAGCCGGUUGUGAAAGCCCCGGGCUCAACCUGGGAACGGCAUCCGGAACUGUCAAGCUAGAGUGCAGGAGAGGAAGGUAGAAUUCCCGGUGUAGCGGUGAAAUGCGUAGAGAUCGGGAGGAAUACCAGUGGCGAAGGCGGCCUUCUGGACUGACACUGACACUGAGGUGCGAAAGCGUGGGUAGCAAACAGGAUUAGAUACCCCAGUAGUC
rnacentral:rRNA from 1 species